UCGUCUUUUCGUUGUCUAUUUAGGUUGGCCAUGGCCUACAUACCGGACUAUAGGAUAUUUCCCCAAUAGAUGCCUCGUCCUUUUACCCGUGAACUUCAUGGUAGUGGAAAAUGGCUUCCUCCGUGGCAGAGAGAGAACCAAUUACCACUAUGCUGUGCCAAUGGGAGGAUAUGGUGUUCAGAUGUGAGGCCAAGUUUCACAUUAAUAGGAAAAAAGGAAUGGAGACUGAUGAACCUGUAAAAGACCUACCUUACGAAAUACAUCUAACAAUCACUUGGAAGGA